rnacentral:rRNA from 1 species
AGCGAACGCUGGCGGCAGGCUUAACACAUGCAAGUCGAGCGGGCAUAGCAAUAUGUCAGCGGCAGACGGGUGAGUAACGCGUGGGAACGUACCUUUUGGUUCGGAACAACUGAGGGAAACUUCAGCUAAUACCGGAUAAGCCCUUACGGGGAAAGAUUUAUCGCCGAAAGAUCGGCCCGCGUCUGGUUAGCUAGUUGGUGAGGUAAUGGCUCACCAAGGCGACGAUCAGUAGCUGGUCUGAGAGGAUGAUCGGCCACAUUGGGACUGAGACACGGCCCAAACUCCUACGGGAGGCAGCAGUGGGGAAUAUUGGACAAUGGGCGCAAGCCUGAUCCAGCCAUGCCGCGUGAGUGAUGAAGGCCCUAGGGUUGUAAAGCUCUUUUGUGCGGGAAGAUAAUGACGGUACCGCAAGAAUAAGCCCCGGCUAACUUCGUGCCAGCCGCCGCAGUAA